UCUCAGGGAUAAAUCCCACUUACCAUGCUGUGUGAUCCUUUUAAUGUGCUGUUGAAGUCUUGCUAAUAUUUGUUUUCCUAAUUUUGCUGAAUUGUCUUUCUGUGUUUUCUUGUAGCUCAUUGAGUCCCUCAAAGCAGCUCUUUUGAAACUUUACUUGGUAAAUCAUAGAUCUCUGUGUCUUAGAGUUUGAUUGUUGGAGGGUUAUUAUGACCUUUUGCUGAUGUCAUGUUUCUUUGAUUCUUCCUGUUUCUUGGAGUCUUUCGCAUUACUGUUUUCACAUUUGAGUAGCAGUCAACUCUUCCAGUCCUUACUGCCUUCAGAAGAGAGGUACCUUUUGUUGCUCCUGCAUAUAUUCUGAGGCAUUCUCUGGCCCUGAAUGGAUAUACCUGCUCCAGGCUUCUUGCUCCCUCCUUUGGUAGAUUCUCAAGCUUAUAUUCAUCUAUGGAUCUUAUAACACAACAGGCUGACUUUGGUAACGUUGCUUUUCUUUUCCUGAAGGUGGUGCUUAAUCUGAAGAUUGUGCUUUCUCCCUUGCCCUCAGCCUCUGGCUUAUUUUCUGCCUACUUCCUAUAUAACUGAGCUUGCUCUUGCUGCCACCCUCAGGAGUGCGCACAGGAGCCAGCCAGGGAAUCGGUAGAGGUGUGGGUUUGGCACUCAGGGAAUUGGGCCAGCUGGGGAAAUACAUGGGUGAAGUUUUAUCCAGCAAGCCUUGACAGGCAUCUUGCUGGAGUCCAGAACACACAGUCAGCAAGAUCUGUCCAAUCUUUAAUGCUUGCUGAUAUUUUUAUCUGCCUCAUUCCUAGUGUCAUAAACUCUUUAGGUAUUCUGGAUGCUGUGGGAGAGAAAAGUCUCACCCAUCUGGGGAAGCCAGGGACUCACCCCCUGACCCAUGGGAAGGAUCCCAGGUAGCUUCAUGUUUCUCUAAGCUGUGCCAGCUUAGGGGAAGGGCAAUGCUUGUAAAGUCUUUUACCCACUCUAAUACAUUCAAACUUGUUUUUGUUUGCUUGUUUUACUACAGUGAAGUGCUGGAAAUUACCCUCUAGAAACCUAAGCUCCUAUAAAGGUUCUUUUUCUGUAGGUAUCUGCCCAAGUUAGUACUUUCCAGAUGCUACAGGAAAAGGGGUUGCUGUUGGUUCAUAGUCUCCUGCCGUUUGCACAGCCAUACCGGGGUCUGCCUGCCCUAUUACAUGAUUUACAGAGCUUCUGGUUAGAAUGAAGAGGAACCAUCACUGUGAGAACUAAACAAGCCUUCUCUGUUUACCGCAAGACUUUCCAAAUCAUGCACUCAACACCAGU